CCAUUAUCCAACUGAUCCUCAAUGUGAAAUCAACUUUGUUGCUUUAGAGCAGGGGUGUCAAACCCACAUUGCCACAGUGGCAUCAAAUGAAGUAUUGGGAUUUCCCCCCCACCUUUGCUAAACCAGGCAUGGGCGUGGCCAGCUUGUGUUUCAUCUGGCCCAUGGGGCAGAGUUUGACAGCCCUGCUUUAGAGUGAAUAGGGUUUGAUAUCUUCUCCCUACCUUUCCUUCUCUUCCAAGUCUACAUAUUUACUCUGAUCAGCAGAG